rnacentral:rRNA from 1 species
GGAGUUUGGGCCGUGUCUCAGUCCCAAUGUGGCCGGUCGCCCUCUCAGGCCGGCUACUGAUCGUCGCUUUGGUAGGCCGUUACCCUGCCAACUGGCUAAUCAGACGCGGGGCCAUCCCAUUCCACCGGAGUUUUUCACACUCUACCAUGCGGUACCGUGCGCUUAUGCGGUAUUAACAGUCGUUUCCAACUGGUAUCCCCCGGAAUGGGGCAGGUUCCCCACGCGUUACUCACCCGUCCGCCACUAGGAAUUAUCAGUUUCCAUCCGAAAACUUCAACCGAUAACCCUCGUUCGACUUGCAUGUGUUAAGCACGCCGCCAGCGUUCAUC